rnacentral:rRNA from 1 species
CAUAUCAAGCUUUUAAUUGAAGAGUUUGAUUAUGGCCCAGAUUGAACGCUGGCGGUAGGCCUAACACAUGCAAGUCGAGCGGAAG